rnacentral:tRNA from 1 species
GGGUCGUUAGCUCAGUCGGUAGAGCAUCUGACUUUUAAUCAGAGGGUCAUUGGUUCGAUUCCAAUACGACCUACCA